AUUGGGAUUGCUGGGUCAUAUGCUAAGUGUAUGUUUAACUUUUAAAGAAACUGCCAAGCUGUUUUCCAGAGUGGCUGUGCAAUUUUACAUUCCCAUCAGCAAU
rnacentral:pre_miRNA from 1 species